GCAGCAGGGCAGGAGAUCCAAGACUCCCCACGGGAAUCUCAGUUGCCUGCUAUAAACACAACACCAUCCUUCCUCCCUUAAAACACAUAAAGAGAGAAUGCUAUGCUCACUCACCGUAGAAAUGGGACAUAAAUAACGUUUAAAACUAAAUAAAAAAAGCAAGUUAUUUCAUAUUUUCUUAAUUUUCCCCUCACUUCUCCAUGCUCAUUAUUAAUUAUUUUAGUUUUUUUUUCCUCUAGUCUUACUUUAAAAAGUUAAACUAGGAAAAAGGUUCUCUAUUCAGCGUCAUUCAACAUCAAGCUUUUGUGGUAAUUGGUAAUGCUACUUGUGAUCAAGUUAAUCUUUUGAAGUCUUUUCUUGAAGCCUCUUGUAGGAAAAUGUGUUAUUUCGAAGUGUGCAGCACCUCCAAAAAAGAGGUGAAAUAUGGUCAUUCUGUAGCACAGAAGAUAAUCUUCCAGUACACAAUUCCAGUGAAAGUCAUCCUGCCCCACAGCCAUGCAAAUGUUCUGACAUACAAAUGUUCAUUGCCGCCUAUUACAUUCCUCUGCUGA
rnacentral:lncRNA from 1 species